UACGUAGGGGGCAAGCGUUGUCCGGAUUUAUUGGGCGUAAAGAGCGUGUAGGCGGCUUUACAGGUCCGUUGUGAAAACUCGAGGCUCAACCUCGAGACGUCGGCGGAAACCAUCUGGCUAGAGUCCGGAAGAGGAGAGUGGAAUUCCUGGUGUAGCGGUGAAAUGCGCAGAUAUCAGGAAGAACACCCGUGGCGAAGGCGGCCUCUCGUAGGGACG
rnacentral:rRNA from 1 species